rnacentral:rRNA from 1 species
CCUACGGGAGGCAGCAGUGAGGAAUAUUGGUCAAUGGGCGCGAGCCUGAACCAGCCAAGUAGCGUGAAGGAUGACUGCCCUACGGGUUGUAAACUUCUUUUAUAAAGGAAUAAAGUGAGACACGUGUGCCUUUUUGUAUGUACUUUAUGAAUAAGGAUCGGCUAACUCCGUGCCAGCAGCCGCGGUAAUACGGAGGAUCCGAGCGUUAUCCGGAUUUAUUGGGUUUUAAGGGAGCGUAGAUGGGUUGUUAAGUUAGUUGUGAAAGUUUUCGGCUCAACCGUAAAAUUGCAAUUGAUACUAGCAGCCUUGAGUACAGUUGAGGUAGGCGGAAUUCGUGGUGUAGCGGUGAAAUGCUUAGAUAUAACGAAGAACUCCGAUGGCGAAGGCAGCUUACUAAACUGCCACUGACAUUGAUGCUCGAAAGUGUGGGUAUCAAACAGGAUUAGAUACCCCUGUAGUC